GUCUGAUUAGCUAGUUGGUGAGGUAACGGCUCACCAAGGCGACGAUCAGUAGCUGGUCUGAGAGGAUGAUCAGCCUCACUGGGACUGAGACACGGCCCAGACUCCUACGGGAGGCAGCAGUAGGGAAUAUUGGACAAUGGGGGAAACCCUGAUCCAGCCAUGCCGCGUGAGUGAUGAAGGCCUUAGGGUUGUAAAGCUCCUUCGGCGGGGAAGAUAAUGACGGUACCCGCAGAAGAAGCCCCGGCUAACUUCGUGCCAGCAGCCGCGGUAAUACGAAGGGGGCUAGCGUUGCUCGGAAUCACUGGGCGUAAAGCGCACGUAGGCGGACUUUUAAGUCAGGGGUGAAAUCCUGGAGCUCAACUCCAGAACUGCCUUUGAUACUGGAAGUCUUGAGUCCGGGAGAGGUGAGUGGAACUGCGAGUGUAGAGGUGAAAUUCGUAGAUAUUCGCAAGAACACCAGUGGCGAAGGCGGCUCACUGG
rnacentral:rRNA from 1 species